rnacentral:rRNA from 1 species
UUUGGGUUGUAAACCUCUUUUCUCAGGGAAGAAGAUCUGACGGUACCUGAGGAAUCAGCAUCGGCUAACUUCGUGCCAGCAGCCGCGGUAAUACGAGGGAUGCAAGCGUUAUCCGGAAUUAUUGGGCGUAAAGCGUCCGCAGGUGGUUAUACAAGUCUGCCGUCAAAGCGUGGAGCUUAACUCCAUACCGGCGGUGGAAACUGUAUGACUAGAGGUCAGUAGGGGUCACGGGAAUUCCGAGUGUAGCGGUGAAAUGCGUAGAUAUUGGGAAGAACACCAGCGGCGAAAGCGCGUGACUGGGCUGAUUCUGACACUCAUGGACGAAAGCUAGGGGAGCGAAUGGGAUUAGAUACCCCCAGUA